rfam:Clostridium ultunense Esp genomic scaffold, CTLT_3033
AAAGUGAAUCAUUCGCUGCCGUAGACAGAAGGGGUCGCAAGACUUAAUCUUCCCUUCCGAGGUGGGUUUAAUCUUAGGAUGAAAAGCCCUCUUAUGUCUAUGGAGGGCUUUUACGUUUUAUGA